GCCGAGAGAAUUUUGAGCGUUAGCCGUCUCUCGGUCGCCAGCUAAUAAAGGACUCUUAAUUCGUCUCAAACUGUAGUGUUUUUCUAACUCGCUCGGGUACAACAGUUGGAGGCCCCAGCGAGAUUUUAACGCCAGCGGGCAAGAGCCGGUCUCACUCCGGGCUCCCCCGGAAGGACGGCUGGCCUGUAGGGAAGCCGCCACCUGCAAAGACAAAAUUUUCAGGUUCCCGAAGGGUGACCGUCUUCCGGAGGACAGCGGAUCGACUACCGUGUGGGUGCCCUAAAAUUCAACAUCUGAGUCCUCAGCUUCUGACCCCGGGGUCAGGGAUGUGCAUGAAAUUUGGUGCUGUGACUCAGAUUGGGGGACCUCCCUUGGGAGAUCCAUUCCCUGUCCUCCUGUUCUUUGCUCCGUGAGCAAGAUCCACCUACGACCUCAGGUCCUCAGACUAACCAGCUCAAGAAACAUCUCACCAAUUUUAAAUCCGGUAAGCAGCCUCUUUUUACUCUCUUCUUCAACCUCCCUUACUAUCCUUCAACCUCUUUCUCCUUUCAAUCUUGGUGCCACACUUCAAUCUCUCCCUUCUCUUAAUUUCAAUUCCUUUCAUUUUCUGGUGGAGACAAAGGAGACACGUUUUAUCCGUGGACCCAAAACUCCGGCGCCGGUCACGGACUAGGGAAGGCGGCCUUCCCUUGGUGUUUAAUCAUUGCAGGGACACCUCUCUGAUUAUUCGCCCAGGUUUCAGAGGUGUUAGACCACGCAGGGACUCCUGCCUUGGUCCUUCACCCUUAGCAGCAAGUCCCACUUUUCUAGGGGAGAGGCAAGUACCCCAACCCCUUCUCUCCAUGUCUCUACCCCUUCUCCGCAUGUCUCUACCCCUUCUCCGCAUUUCUGGGGGGCGAGAAACCCCCAACCCCUUCUCCUUCACCCUUAGCGGCAAGUCCCGCUUUUCUGGUGAAGAGGCAAGUACCCCAACCUCGUAUCUCUGCACCCCGAUCCCUUAUUUCCAUGCCCCGACCUCCUAUCUCUGUGCCCCAACCCCUUCUCUGCUUUUCUGGAGGGCAAGAACCCCCCACCACUUCUCCCUGUCUCUACUCUUCUCUGGGCUUGCCUCCGUCACUAUGGGCAAGCUUCCACCUUCCAUUCCUCCUUCUUCUCCCUUAGCCUGUGUUCUUAAGAACUUAAAACCUCUUCAACUCUCACCUGACCUAAAAUCUAAGCAUCUUAUUUUCUUCUGCAAUGCUGCUUGACCCCAAUACAAACUUCACAGUAGUUCCAAAUAGCCAGAAAACAGCACUUUCAAUUUUUCCAUCCUGCAAGAUCUAAAUAAUUCUUGUCGUAAAAUAGGCAAACGGUCUGAGGUGCCUGACAUCCAGGCAUUCUUUUACACAUCGGUCCCUUCCUAGUCUCUGUUCCCAGUGCAACUUGUCCCAAAUCUUCCUUCUUUCCCUCCCGCCUGUCCCCUCAGUACCAACCCCAAGCGUCACUGAGUCUUUCUAAUCUUCCUUUUCUACAGACCCAUCUGACCUCUCCCUUCCUCGCCAGGCCGAACUAGGUCCCAAUUCUUCCUCAGCCUCCGCUCCUCCACCCUAUAAUCCUUUUAUCACCUCCCCUCCUCACACCUGGUCCGGCUUACAGUUUCGUUCCGUGAGUAGCCCUCCCCCACCUGCCCAGCAAUUAACUCUUAAAGAGGUGGUUGGAGCUAAAGGCAUAGUCAAGGUUAAUGCUCCUUUUUCUUUAUCCCAAAUCAGAUAGCAUUUAGGCUCUUUUUCAUCAAAUAUAAAAAUCCAGCCCAGUUCAUGACUCGUUUGGCAGCAACCCUGAGACAUUUUACAGCCCUAGACCCUGAAAUGUCAAAAGGCUGUCUUAUUCUCAAAAUACAUUUUAUUACCCCAUCUGCUCCCUACAUUAAAUAAAACCCCCAAAAUUAAAUUCCGGCCCUCAAACCCCACAACAGGAUUUAAUUAACCUCACCUUCAAGGUGUACAAUAAUAGAAAAAAGUUGCAAUUGCUUGCUUCCACUGUGAGACAAACCCCAGCCACAUCUCCAGCACACAAGAACUUCCAAACGCCUGAACUGCAGCGGCCAGGCAUUCCUCCAGAACCUCCUCCCCCAGGAGCUUGCUACAAGUGCCAGAAAUCUGACCACCAGGCCAAGGAAUGCCUGCAGCCCAGGAUUCCUCCUAAGCCGCAUCCCAUCUCUGCGGGACCCCAAUGGAAAUCGGACUGUCCAACUCACCUGGCAGCCACUCCCAGAGCCUCUGGAACUCUGGCCCAAGGCUCUCUGACUCCUUCCCAGAUCUUCUUGGCUUAGCAACUGAAGACUGAUGCUGCCGAUCACCUCGGAAGCCCCCUAGACCAUCACGGACGCCGAGCUUCGGGUAACUCUCACAGUGGAGGAAUAUUUUCAAUCCAUAGAUGUGGAACUCACAGAUGUGGAGGAUGGACUAUAGAUACAAACUGGUUAGUGCCUCACAUGCUGAACAGAACGAAUGCAAGAUAACAUAACUUCAUAGUAUGUGAGCUCUUCUCAGAUAGUUUAUUAAAAAGACAUACAUGACGCUUUCCUUAAUAUAUUUAACAACCCCAAGGCUAGUCUGUCAAAUAAAAAAAAAAUGAAAAGGACUCACAGUCAUUUGUUUUAUUUCUGAAGUUAAACAAAAAAUAAAAUUCUAAGGUCCACCAACCAUCUGAAUGAACUCCUCUCAGCUACGGGCAUUCCUGAGUUAACCUGAAAAUCCAGUUCAGGUUAUGAUGACAAAGGGUGUUGGACAUGCCUCACUAUACCCUCCAGCAUUAACAUUAACACAGACCUUAAGUCUGAUAAGAAACGUUUGCAAUCUAUUUUCUGUGAAGCCUGCUACCUGGAGGCUUCAUCUGCAUAAUAAAACCUUGGUCUCUACAACCCCUUAUUUUCACCCAGAUAUUCCUUUCUACUGACAAUAACUCUUUCAAACAAAUGUCAAUCAGGAAACAUUUAAAUCUAUCUAUGACCUGGAAGCUCCCCGCUAUUGAGUUGUCCUGCCCUUCCAGAUGGAACCAAUGUAAGUAAAUCUUCCAGGUAUUGAUUGAUAUCUCAUGUCUCCCUAAAAUGUAUAAAAGCAGGCUGUACCCUGGCCACCUUGGGCACAUAUUGUUGGGACCUCCUGAGGGUGUCACUGGAGUGUCCUUAACUUUGUCAAAAUAAACUUUCUAAAUUGAUUGAGACCUGCCUCAGGUAUUUGGGGUUGACAAACUGAUAACCACGAAGGGAUUCUGAGUGGAGUUUCCCCUGACUUUUGACAAAUCUCAUAUCGGUGCUUGGUACCAGCUUGAGAAUUCCUUAUGGUUCAAACCAAUAGGAUAAUUUGCCAAGACCCAGGAGCUCCCCUCCCUCCAUAGGAUCCCCAAUCUCAUUCCCAGCAAUCAUCAGAGAUUAUUGUUGGAGAGGAGUUCAUCCAGGGACGGUUGAACUCGAGCGGAAUACUGCCUUCUCACUCCAUCCCCUUUCCAGUUCCCCAUGCUGCUGAGAGCCACCUCCACUGCACAAUAAAAUCCUUCACAUUCACCAACCUCCAAUUUGUUCAUGCCACUUCAUUCCUCCUGGAUGAUGGACAAGAACCUGGGUGCAGGUACAGGAGGCUGUCACACUGGCCCUCCACUGAGCUGUUUUAACACUUAAGCCAUCCAUGAAUGGCAAAGCUAAAGAACAGCACUGUAACACAUGCCUUCUGGGGCUCUGGGGGUCCUGGGCAACCCUUAGACACUGCUGCCAGGCUACGGAAUUCUACUCCUGCCAGUGCCUAGAAACACCCAUCCCGGUCUCUGCCCCCUCUCACCUGCUCACUCCCACUCCCACAAGGGGUUUGAGAGCUGUGGGCUGAGUAAGUGAGCCACCUCUUCACGAGUCCUCUGAAGAGGUCAAGGGAACUAUCCCAUCUCAAUGUGGAAGUGAUAUUUCACCACCAAACUACAUGAAAGAGCUCUAAUCAACUGAUUCAAAAAAAAAAGUAAGCGCUUAUCAGGCUGGUAGAUAUUAACCUUUUAAUUCACAUGACCUUGGUAAUCUUUAGUAAGAUUAAUUUGGUAAGUUUAAUUUCAAAAUUAUCUCCAGUAGUUUAAAAUCUUAAAGUCCUGUUGUGUUAAAGUAACCUUGGUUUUUUUCACUGGGAGUUUGAGUUACUAAGAGCUAAAAUAAUAAGAGUGUAAAAGGUAUUUUUGGUGAAGCUUAUAAAAUACAAGGAUGUUUUUUUUGCUGAAGAAAAUGUAAUAUUUUUUCUAGUUAAGAAACUAUUUAAGUCACUUUAAAAUAAAGGAAAACAUACAGGUAAAACUAAAUGCAUAAAAAUUAUUAAGCCAGGGCAACAAAUGUUACCUCUGAGACCUGUGGUUUUCAAGAAGAUAGUCAAUGUGGGGGAAGGGCAAGACCAAGUAACUAUUAAACUAGAGGGUAUAAUGUAAAGGAAUUGGUCCAUUUUGUAGAUUGCUAUCAUCAGCUUCUUGAGAAAUCUUUACUAUAAUGAAUUGUAAAAAUCACUAAUUUAAGGACAUAAUUCUUAAUUUUAAAUGCUGCAGAAGGAAAGAGCUUGUUUGUUGAUGCAGGAACUACAGCUCACUAUUAAACAAUCACUACUGAAUAAUGUGAUCCCAAGGCACACGAGGUUAUUCCUGCAACUAACCUAUUGGACCAGAUAAAUGCCUCUGUACAGUCUGUUUGCUCUGAGAUGGUGACUGACCGAAUUUCCCUAUAAAAUAUCAAGUGGAGCACACCAGAUGAAGCAGUUGGUAUGCUUCAUAUGCAAGUCGUAUGAGACUGACCUUAUGAUAACCAGCAUAUUCUCCCACCAAAUAUGCCCAUUACACAGGUCAUAGAAAAUUUAGGGGUUAAGGGGACUCCUAUUGAAACCACCAUUGCAAAAUUAUAACUGAGCUGACCUAGCUAACUACAUCUUUUUUCUGAUUUCCAAACUGUCCUUGUUCACUUCUGGGUGCAGGCUGACCUAACUUUAGAAAGAACUUAGUUUAUAGUUUAAUCAACAUGAUAACAGCCUUUUCCCAAAACAAACCUCCUUCUUGUCUGGGGACUACACUGCCUUUGUAGGACUAACAAAUUAGGCACAAGAUUAGAAAUUAUGGUUUAGGAAUCAUGCAGCUGGAGGCUACAAGAUUCUGACCCUCCCUGAACUGCUCCUAAGAUCAGUGCUUAAGAUAUUUUACAGACCCUGCACUUGAUGGAUCAGCUGGCACCAUCCAGAUGGAUUAACUGCCUCAUCUGAUCUUGUGACCCCCCUAGCCAGGAACUGACUCAGCACAAGAGGACAGCUUCAGUUUCCUAUGAUUUUAUCUCCUACCUAGCCAAUCAGCAUUCGUGGCUCACUGGCUUCCCCCCACCCACCAAGUUGUCCUUAAAAACUCCAAUCCCUGAAUGCUCAGGGAGACAGUUUUGAGUAAUAAUGAAACUCUGGUCUCCCACACAGCCAGUUCUGCAUGAAUUACUCUUUCUCUAUUGCAAUUCCCCUGUCCUGAUAAAUUGUCUCUGUCUAGGUGGCGGGCAAGGUGAACCCAGUGGGUGGUUAUACUUUUCCAUGGAUACCCCAGGUAACAUCACUACCACAAAAUCACACAACUGUUUGAGAAGCCUUAUCAAAUUUCCUGUCCCUCAUGGGUCUUACAGAUGCUAAAUAAAACAUUGGGGUAAUUAACAACAACUACAACAACAAAAAUAAAAAGGGAAAGGAAAAAGGGAGUCAAAGGACUCUCGCCAGAAGAGUGAUAGAAAUUUUUGGAUGGGUUUCCACUAUUUACCCCCAUUGGAGAACUAAAACAAACAAAAAAAUAAAAAAAUAAAAAGCCAAAGUUUAUAAUGAGAAAGAUGGCAUGGCCUGGGCAAUGUUGAGGCAAAUAAGAUAAACAUUAACCAAAGGGCCUGAGUGCCUUGGUCCAAACUUUUGAUAUAAGAUUAAAUCCUUUUGAUGCAGUAUCUUGCUACCUGGGGAAUGCAAGGAGGAGAAUACUCAUAAGCAGGUAGCCUUUCCCCCCUACCAUCGCUGAUUCUAACUAUAUCCUCAUAUAGAUUCUAGAGCUGUUAUGUUGGACAGUGCCUAAUAGACAGCUCUCAUCUAACAAGAGUUGUUUGGCUUGUGGAUAGUAUUUCCAAGGUGAACAAGUGACAUCCUGUUUGAAACCCAUGUUCUGGUUAAAGAAGAGACAAGCAAAUCUUUUUCUUUUGUUAUUUGUAGUUUACAGCUAUUGGUUGAAGUACAUUUUUGUGAACAAGUUUACUUUUCUGUCUGAGUUCUCCAAAAUAUGGAAACUGCUCAUAAUCAUUCUGAUUUUAUGACAAUAUAGUUAUUUGCAUAGGUUUAGUAAGAGUCUUUACUUUUAAAACAGGACAACUAGAGACACUGGUUAUUUUACCAAGGCUUUGACUAGAAUAAUAUAUUUUUAGGUAAAGUUCCAGCAAAGCCAACUUAAAAUGAGCCUAUAUAGCCAAUCAAUUCUUCCUGCAUUUUGUGCAAAUAAUCAGGCCAAGCAUAAUAAGCCUAAAACUUACUUUGCACACAUAUUGGUCUUACUGUAUCUUCUCUCUAAUAGAGAAGGAGGGCUAGAGAGAGAAAUUGUUUCAAAGGAAAGUGUAACACUUGUUAUUUCAACUCCGACUUUUGUUUCUGAGUGCAGAUUGAAUCAUUAAUUAUUUCUUGGCUACAGUAAUCCUCUAGAGAGUGCCAGAUUAUAAUUUUUCUUCAUAUUUUUAGUUGGCACCCUAAUGGAGUAGGUUCUUCUUUUCUGUUCUGACACACAAAUACUCUGCAGAAAUACAAAUGUUAUAUCUCCUUGUUUUACUUGCAAGGAAGCUAAAAUCAUGGUAAUCUGAAGAGCAGAGAUACAAAUCUCCCUCCUUUAGCAUUCCACUGGGCCUAAUCUGUUUUUCACUUCAAAUGGCCUGCUUUUAAGACUAUACAAGCACCCUCCCUCUAGGCCCAAGGACUGUCAUAGAAAAGGUGGGCAUGUGAGGCUGUAAGGGCCUGGAUUUGAGGGAUAGAAUUAGGUCAAAGUUGGACCCUCCAAAUCAAGGGUGGGUACAAAGAUGCCUAAACAAUUGAUAAAACAAGGUACGUUGCCUUCUGAGCUAUUACACGACACCUUUUCAUCCACCCCAACUGUCAGAGGCGUUGGAAGCAGAGCGACUCCAUCUUGAGUGAGGGCUAGGAAAAUGAGGCUGGGACUGGCCAGGCUGCAUUCUCAGAAAGUUAGGCAUUCCUAGACUCUAGAUGUUUACAGUUAAGGGAAUAGAUUGAUAAUAUUUACUAAACAUCUAGACUUGGGAGUGUCCAGAUAUCCUGCUAUCUUGAGAACAAAGGCAUUCCUAAUUUUGUGGUAAAGAUAAUAACAUUGAUUCUUGCAAAAAUAUAGUAAUUAAGAAAAUUAAUCCUUUAUCACAAACCCUUGAAGCACAGCACAUCUCCAUCUCCCCAUGAUCCUUUUUUAUCCUUUUUAUACAAGCAUUGUACCUGGGCUGGACGCAUUUCUCCUCUUACUCUUGGGAAUGCCCUACUCUGUCUAUGGAGUAGCUGUACUUUCACCACUUGACUUUCUUAAUAAACUUACUUUUGCUUUGCACUGCAGACUCACCCUGAAUUCUUUCUUGCUUGAGAUCCAAGAACCCUCUCUUGGGGUCUGGAUCAGGAUCCCUUUCCUGUAAUAUCUUUCUGGCAACCACUGAAGGGACUACAGUGAGGAAAUCCUUGACCUAAAGGCUAACUUUAGGCUGAGGAACAGAAGAGACUGAUCACGUUUAUUCCUGUGAGCCAACCAGUAACCUCCAACUCCUGUUCAGAAGAAGCAAAAAGGAUGGGUAACGUAAAGACAUGGAUUGGCAUUCUACUUUUGGGUAUAAGUUGGAAUCAUGCCGAGAGUAACUUGUGUACAAUAUCGGCUUGGUUCCGACAACUACCUAGUUCUUGGAAAGACUUCCCGUUUAGUUUACUUGGAGUGAUUAUACUUAUUUUGCUUUUCUGUUGUGGAAUAUAUUGUGGUUGUACUUUUUGUGUAGAAAUGCGAGACAAACUCACUCAACGCUUUCUUAAAUUGGACACAUUAAUCUUCCAGGUAUCACCUCUUGUCAGAACUCACAGCUCUGAACGAACUUCACCAUGCCAAUGCUUUCUGAAUGAGCUUCUCUCUACCCUGAAUGCAAGAGACCCUAAUAGUUAGGCAGGAAUAUCAUUGCCCCUAUUCAGCCCGAAGGAGAUACAGAAGAUGGAUCUUCAUUCCUCUGCAACCCUUAGGAUUAAGGGUCCUCUCUUAAAGGGAGCCGGGCGAUAUGUCAGAGUCUAUGGAACCAGAGUGACUUCAUCUUGAGUGAAGCCUAGGAAAAUGAGGCUAGGACCGGCUGUGCUGCAUUCCCAGAAAGUUAGGCAUUCCUAGCCUCUAGAUGUUUAUGAUUAAGGAAACAGGUUGAUAAUGUUUACUAAGCAGACUCAGACUUGGGAGUGUCCUAAUAUCCCCAUAUCUUGAGAACAAAGGUACUCCUAAUUUUGCUUUAAAGAUAAUAAUAUUGAUUCUUGCAAAAACAUUGUAAUUAAGAAAAUUAAUCACAAACUCUUGUAGCAGAGCACAUCUCCCUCCUCAUGAUCUUUUUUUAUCCUAUAUACACAAACAUUGUACCUAGAGUGGACACGUUUCUCCCCUUACUUUUGGGAAUGGCCUACUCUGUCUAUGAAGUAGCUGUGCUUUCACCACUUUACUUUCUUAAUAAACUUGCUUUUGCUUUGCACCGUGGACUCACCCUGAAUUCUUUCUUGUGUGAGAUCCAAGAACCCUCUAUUGGGGUCUGGAUUGGGACCCCUUUCCUGUAACACAACCAUAAAGAAUAUCCUACUUCCUAUAGAAUUAAAAGUAAGUAAUUACUGAGAGUAUAAAGAUACCUCAUAACAGAACCUCUUGGCUAUAAUACUCUCAGUUAAGAGUUUUUCAGAUAUAUAUGUAUUUUUUUAAUUUUCAGAAGAAUGCUUAUGUUUUGUAUAGCUAACUACUACAAGUCUGUAACUAAUACCAAGAUUAUAGUAGCUCAACACAUAGAAGUUAAAGAGAAGUCAGUUUUGUAUCCUGUCUGUGGAUUUUGUUUGUUGGCUUUUAACUUAAAAAAAAUUACUUAAAAAAAAUUAAGGGGGUAAUGAAUGCCUGUCUAUGUCCAUUCUUAUCUGGCUAGCCUCUAAGUCCCUUGGCCACAGGGAGUCCCAUCAAAGGACAGGAUGGACCUGGGGCAGGCAGCCAUGCCACUCUGGCAACACUACGGGACAAAAUAAAAAUGUGGUGGCCAUUGAUGUUGCCUUUGGCAAAUCUUGGCCAGAAGGGGGAGAAUGUAAACCAAAAAUGAAAUUCUAAGGUCCCUGCAACCAUCUGAAUGGACCCUUUCUCUCAACUAAGGGCAUUCUGGAGUUAACCAGAAAAUCUAGUUCAGGCCAUGAUGGAAGAAAGGGUUGGACAUGUGUCACUAUACUCGCCCCCGCAGCAUUAACAUCAACACAGACCUUAAGUCUGAUAAGAAACCUUUACAAUCUAUUUUCUCUGAAGGCUGCUACCUGGAGGCUUCAUCUGCAUGAUAAAACCUUUGUCUCCCCAACCCCAUAUCUUAACCUAGACAUUCCUUUCUACUGAUAAUAACUCUUUCAACCAAUUGCCAAUCAAAACAUUUUCAAAUCUAUCUAUGACCUGGAAGCUCUCCUUCACUCCCUCACCCCCACCUUGGCUGGAGUUGUCCCGCCUUUCCAGGUGGAACCAAAUAUAAGUCUUGCAUGUAUUAACUGAUGUAUUAUGUUUCCCUAAAAUAUAUAAAAGCAAGCUGUACACCAACCACCUUGGGCAUAUGUCAUCAGGACCUCCUGAGGCUGUGUCAUGGUUAUGUCCUUAACCUUGGCAAAAUAAACAUGUUAAAUUGAUUGAGACAUGUUUCAGAUAUUUUGGAUUCACAUGAGUUUGACAUAAUUUAAAAAUGCACAUAUUAUAAAAGCAAUAUCCUGCUGCAUCUAAUGACACUUAACAUCCCAGUUUUACAUAAACUUGUGAAUGGAAAGUAUUUGAAGAAACUAAUAUCUAGUAGAAAUUCUUACAGUUCCUAAUAUUUGAUGCAAAGUGUGUGUGUAUUGCUUUAAUUGAAUAAGAGAAAAGAGUAAAGCAAAAUUAUAGUAACCGCAAUAGCUACCACUUAUUAAUCUCAUUAUGCAAGUCUGCCAAUAUGUUAAAUGUUUUGAGUAUAUUUUUGUCACCUUCACUACAACCUUAAAGUUUAGAAAUUAUUUACAUACAGCAGAUGGUGAACUCCGAUUCAGAAAGAUUAAAAUCCUUUGCUCAAGAAAGCAAAAAGGGCAGAUUUGAAUUAACCUCCAUCUGCCACUAGUGUUCAUUUUCUCACUGCUUUCUUAUUUUUUAAGUCUUGGGCUUUUCUCUUUCAUCACAAACCUUUGGAAGUGUGGGGGCUGAAAUGGUCUAAUACAUACUUAUCUCUUGAAAUAUAGUUCUUAAGGAGCCAAGAAAUAAUGCCAUGUAAUUAGUAAUGCCAUUAGUAUUUAUUAUGUGCUGUAUUCCAGUUUCUGUGCUAAUUAUAUAACCUGGAUUAACGUAUUCAGUGUUCACAAUGGUGCUAUAUGAUAAAUAAUGUUGAAUCAUAGUUGCAAGCACCUGAAAGUAGAUUUUGGUUGACAAGCAAAAAACAAAUGUGUUAACAUCAUGGUAGACAGCUAACAAGUUUCCCCAGGUAGAGAGAAUCCGGUCUUGGAGGAUGCACACACAGGAAUGAAGCUUGUGUAUGCCCCCAUCUUAUGGUAACACUGGAGGACCGGUUCAGUGAGAACAUGGCCAGCACUACUGCCGCUCAUUAGCUUCUGUGACUUCCACCACUGAUACUUCGGGGAUUGUUGCAAUGCUGCCCAAAUAAUGGAAUUUUGUUGUACGUAAUCGGUUCCACUCCCAGAGAUAGUUACAUGAGGUCCUCAGUACAGAGCAGGUGCCCCUCACUAGCAUCAAAGCCUUUUAACCUUUCAUUGAGGGAGGGGACUCCAUCCUCCACCAAGAUUCAUAUGAUGGGGAAUUUUUUCAAGCUUAAAAGAGGAUUUGGAUGCUGAGCAGACUUAAAGAAUAACCAGUAACCACUUUGCAAGUAAGAAAACUGAAGUGGAGAAAGAUUGCGUAGUUUUCUCAAAUAUAUAUAUAUAUUUUUGAGACAGAGUCUUACUCUGUCACCCAGGAGGGAGUGCUGUGGCAUGAUCUUGCCUCACUGCAACCUCUGCCUCCCAAGUUCAAGCGAUUCUCCUGCCUCAGCAUCCCAAGUAGCUGGGAUUACAGGUGUGUGCCACUAUGCCCGACUAAGUUUUGUAUUCUUAGUAAAGAUGGAGUUUCACCAUGUUGGCCAGGAUGGUCUCGAACCCCUGACCUCACGAUCUGCCCACCUCGGCCUCUCAAAGUGCUGGAAUUAUAGGUGUUAACCAUGGCGCCUGGCCUCAAAUACACAUAAUUAGUAAUCAGCAAAGAUGUGACUGGAUUUUAAAGUCUGUAUGACUCUAAAAUGUCUGCUUCUAACUACUUUCUGCUCUGGUAGUUUCCUACUAUCAAUUAUUUGUUUUGCUCGGCCGUUCCCUCAGUGUAAGAGAGGGCACACAUGGACACUUUCUGUUAUUUUUUUUCUGCCUGGCUGCUGAGGGGUUGCUGCUAUGACAUCUCUUUUACACUGAAAGGCAAAGGGGAUAUUCGAGUUUGCACGCAUGCAGACACAGUCACUUCUUCUAAUGGCAGCUGUUAGUACUGUUUAGAGAUUCUCCACACAGGAUAUUCAUACACAUCUCAACCUCAACCAAAUGAUAUUUUCUUUCUAAAGGUGAAUUUUCCUUUCAUGUUGUACAUCACCUCCUGUAAAUCCGCAUACAGAUCUGAUGCCCUUAAGUCUUAAAGUUUGUGGACAUUCUGAAUAAUACUUGACUUGUUGAAAUUAAAUUGUGCUGGAAGACAAAUCUAAAAGAAGCUAAAAUGUGAGAGAAAACAUUUGUAGACUGCAAACAUUUUGAAACAGAGGUAGGAAGCUUUUAGGCAUGCCAGUUGCUAGGAAACCAUAUCUUGGUUAUAUAGUUUCAAAAUUACUGAAGAGCUCAUGCUUGCUUAGGUCAAUAGAGAACCAAUAGGAGCAGAAGAAAAUCCGAUGCAAUAAAAUGUUUAAUGUUUUAAAAAGAUGACUGCCAAAAUAAUUAAUUGAAGAGAAUACUGAACCAAUAAUAAGGUUCAAAUUACAGAUUGUUCUUUAUUUGGAGCCAUGAGUUCAAACUGCUAUAAGAUUUAUGAAGC